rnacentral:rRNA from 1 species
UCUGGGACAAGCCCUGGAAACGGGGUCUAAUACCGGAUGAUACUGCGGACCGCAUGGUCUGUGGUUGAAAGCUCCGGCGGUGCAGGAUGGGCCCGCGGCCUAUCAGCUUGUUGGUGAGGUAAUGGCUCACCAAGGCGACGACGGGUAGCCGGCCUGAGAGGGCGACCGGCCACACUGGGACUGAGACACGGCCCAGACUCCUACGGGAGGCAGCAGUGGGGAAUAUUGCACAAUGGGCGAAAGCCUGAUGCAGCGACGCCGCGUGAGGGAUGACGGCCUUCGGGUUGUAAACCUCUUUCAGCAGGGAAGAAGCGAAAGUGACGGUACCUGCAGAAGAAGCGCCGGCUAACUACGUGCCAGCAGCCGCGGUAAUACGUAGGGCGCAAGCGUUGUCCGGAAUUAUUGGGCGUAAAGAGCUCGUAGGCGGCUUGUCGCGUCGGUUGUGAAAGCCCGGGGCUUAACCCCGGGUCUGCAGUCGAUACGGGCAGGCUAGAGUUCGGUAGGGGAGAUCGGAAUUCCUGGUGUAGCGGUGAAAUGCGCAGAUAUCAGGAGGAACACCGGUGGCGAAGGCGGAUCUCUGGGCCGAUACUGACGCUGAGGAGCGAAAGCGUGGGGAGCGAACAGGAUUAGAUACCCUGGUAGUCCACGCCGUAAACGGUGGGAACUAGGUGUUGGCGACAUUCCACGUCGUCGGUGCCGCAGCUAACGCAUUAAGUUCCCCGCCUGG